rnacentral:rRNA from 14 species
GUACCGUGAGGGAAAGGUGAAAAGAACCCCGGGUAGGGGAGUGAAAUAGAACCUGAAAUCGCACGACCUACAAACAGUCAGAGCACUAUGUUCGGAGCGAUCCGAAAAAUGUGUGAUGGCGUGCCUUUUGCAGAAUGAGCCUGCGAGUUGUUGGUAUUGGCAAGCUUAAGUGGUUCAGCCACGGAGGCGCAGCGAAAGCGAGUGCGAAUAGCGCGUGAGCCUUUAACCGGGUUCAUAGUAGCGUGCGUUAGACCCGAAACCGUGUGAUCUACCCAUGUCCAGGUUGAAGCGGGGGUAAUACCUCGUGGAGGACCGAACCGGUGUAUGUUGAAGAAUGCUCGGAUGAGGUGUGGGUAGGGGUGAAAUGCCAAUCGAACACGGAGAUAGCUGGUUCUCCUCGAAAUGCAUUUAGGUGCAGCGUGUUGUGUUUACCGUCGGAGGUAGAGCACUGAAUGGGCUAGGGGCCUUACCGGGUUACUGAUCCCAAUCAAACUCCGAAUGCCGACGGUCCAAGCAGCGCAGUGAGACAGUGGGGGAUAAGCUCCAUUGUCGAGAGGGAAACAGCCCAGACCAUCA